UAUGCGUAGUUUCCUUAACCCGGAACACCAACACCAAUUUUUACACGCAGACAAGCUGAUUGGCGUAACGAUGAGCUCGGCCAGAGUGAUGGUUUGCGCCAUGGCUUUCGUUCUGGCGUGCUUGGCAGCCAUGCCGCCUGCAUCCGCAGCCUUGGGAGACGGAGGGAUACUGUCGUAUAUCCCGUCCGCCGCCUCUAUAGCUCACUGCCCCUCCAGCUGCGGGGACGUCAAUAUCUCCUACCCCUUCGGCAUAGGGGCAGGCUGCUUCCGGCAAGGCUUCGAGGUUACCUGCGACAACACCACUCAACCUCCAAAGCUGUUUCUGAUGAAUAACAGCACAACUGAGAUCACUAGGAUAUAUUAUGGGUUUGUUGAGGUCCCUAUGUUCUUCAACAGUUCCUUUGGACCAGGUAGGAACAAUAUGUCUUGGGAGUGGGAGGCUCCCGCUAAGGGUAUUACUAUUAACAGCUAUAACAAUUUCUUUGUCCUUGGAUGUGACUUUGAUGUCAACUUGUUCGAUUAUGAGAGAAACCCUGUCGGCUCCUGCAUGAGUAGGUGCCACGGGGGGGUAUUGCCAACUCGAGGGCCUUGCAACGGGAUUGGUUGCUGUUUCAUCAGUUUACGGAAUGCCAUGUCAGGUUUUCAGGCAACAUUUUUUCGGGCUGAUGGUGUGGCAGGACAAUCAUCAGAUUCUAUGUACCCUCGCAUCAUGGCUUUCAUAUCAUAUUCCGAUGACAUGGAUAACAUGACUAACCUUUUAUUGGGUUGGACAAACACAAGCAAGAUCGAUGGUGCUGUUGUUGAGGUUGCCAUCACGGAUCAACCAAGCUGCGAAAGCGCGCGAAUGAACAACGCAAGUUAUGCUUGUGCCACCGACAGCAUUUGUAGAAAUGCGUCUUCAUAUGGGGGUUACAAAUGUCACUGCUCUGGUUACCAGGACGGCAAUCCUUACCUUUCCGAAGGUUGCACGCAAGGAGAUUACAACCCCGAGCCUAAAGAACACUGCCGGAGGUCAUGUGGAAACAUGAACAUUUCCUUCCCUUUUGGGCUCGAAGAAGGUUGUUUUGGAAACGAAAAGUUCCGACUUAAUUGUACAGCAGCAGGUGACACGCUUUUUAGCACAGGAGGUACACAGUACCGCGUGACUGGUGUCUCAUUAGAAGAUGGAACUUUGAUUGUAAGAAACAUGCUAAGCAAUGCGAGCACCGGAAAAGAAGAGAUAAUAGUUUCGACUGGCGAGAACGGAGAUAUCUGGGACUGGGACUUCAGCGGCCCCGUGGAAGAUCGAUUUGAUUUUUCUAUGGAAUAUGUCGACAUUGUCAUAAGAUGGGCGAUUACCAAUUCAACUUGUGAACAAGCUUUGCAGAAUAUAACUAAGUAUGCAUGCCGCAGUGAAAACAGUUAUUGCCUAAACGUGGCCCAUGGGAAAAUAUUUAUGGGAUAUCGUUGCAAGUGUUCUCGUGGCUUCAAAGGAAACCCGUACGUACAGGAAGGCUGCACAGGUACAUCCGGCUUCUCCUUCGAUAUUGAUGAAUGCUCCCUGCCAAACUACUGCAAUGGUACAUGUCAUAACUUUCCUGGGACCUAUAAGUGCACACCAUGCCCUCAUAAUAAAGAAUUUGAUUCGACAAAGAAGCUGUGUAUUACAUCAACUAAGCAACGGAAUCUUCUUUUGGGUAUUGCAAUUGGAAUCAGUUGUGGCAUUGGCUCCAUAAUUAUUGCAUUGGGUGUAAUCGUACUUGCCAAUAAGUGGAAAAGGGGCAUCCAAAAGAGAAUCAGAAGAGCACACUUCAAGAAAAAUCAAGGCCUGCUAUUGGAGCAAUUGAUCUCUGAUGAAAGCACCACAAGCAAAACUAAAAUAUUCUCAUUGGAGGAACUAGAGGAGGCAACAAACAACUUUGAUGCUACUCGUGUUCUUGGUCAUGGAGGACAUGGCACGGUUUAUAAAGGGAUUCUAUCUGACCAACGUGUGGUGGCCAUAAAAAAAUCCAAAAUAGUGGAACAAAUAGAGAUAGACCAGUUUAUCAAUGAGGUUGUCAUUUUGUCUCAAAUCAUCCAUCGCAAUGUGGUGAAACUGUUUGGUUGCUGCCUAGAAGAUGAGGUGCCCAUGCUUGUCUAUGAGUUCAUUUCAAAUGGCACUCUGUAUGGACUUCUUCACUCUGAUACUACAAUAAAAUGCUUGCUUUCAUGGGAUGAUCGCAUUAGGAUUGCAAUGGAAGCAGCAGGGGCACUUGCUUAUCUACACUCAGCUGCUACAAUACCAAUUUUCCACAGAGAUGUUAAGUCUUCAAAUAUACUCUUGGAUGACAACUUCACCACAAAGGUCUCAGACUUUGGUGCUUCAAGAUCUCUUUCGCUUGAUGAGACUCACGUGGUUACGAUUGUCCAAGGUACAUUCGGCUACUUGGACCCAGAAUACUAUCAUACCGGUCAGCUUACUGAAAAGAGUGAUGUAUAUAGUUUUGGAGUAAUACUUGUUGAACUUUUGAUAAGGAAGAAGCCAAUUUUUAUCAAUGAUUUAGGUGCUAAACAAAGCCUAUCACAUUACUUCAUUGAAGGACUUCAUGCAGGGUCCCUUGUAGAAAUACUGGAUAAACAAGUUGUGGAAGAGGCAGACCAGGAAGAGAUUAAUGAAAUCGCCUCACUUACAGAAGCAUGCUUAAGGGUCAAAGGAGGAGACAGACCGACUAUGAAAGAAGUAGAUAUGAGGUUGCAAUUUCUAAGAACAAAGAGACUUAGAAAAGGUUUAGAUGAAAAAGAUGCAGAUAUUGAGCCUUUGUUAUGCCCACAAGAUAAGAACUUAUAUGGGCAUAUCGAUCUUGUCAAUGCUGGGAGCUCUGGGUGCUACAGUUUGGAGCAAGAAUUUGCAUCUUUGCCACGCUAAUUACAUUUGUGCAAGAUAACCGAUGGCCUGCUUGGAUGUUGAAUAUAAUGCAUCUGAGACUUGCCGGACCCUGUUGGAGAAGUUGAUACUUGAUGGGCACCUUAACGUUCGGGUGUUCGAAGAACCUGUGCCUACAGCUCCGACCAUGCUGCAGGGCCUGUUCAAGCAAGACCCCAGUAAAGAAGCAUCCUUGUGUAGAAAGCGCUUCUUCGCUAAUCCAAUGAGCACAUCCCUGCUGUAAGAGGCAAUGGGCUUGUUCUAAAUUCACAGUCGUGAGGGGAUCAUGGUACGGAAUGCAGGAAUGCUUAAAUGCUACCCUCUCCGGAAGUUCUAUCAAUAGUGCUUAUCAAACUGGGCCAUGGCUUUGUUCAUGGCUCAGGCCGGUGUGUCAUUUCCUCCAGGGCCUGGCAAUUAGCAUAGUCGCGCCGUAGGUGACUGGGCCAUCGCUCUGUACGAGUACUGCAGCCACCGAGUCUUUAUGUUAGCAUCCCGUUUCUCUGGUGCGGAAGACACAGGAGAAUCAUCAUGCCUAACGUCACUCCUCACUAUGAAAAUUGGGAGGCGAUGCGUCUGCUCAAUCAAAAGUGAGACUCUGAUGUUAGUGUGCACUAUCGAAGGAUAUAUUCCUUUGGGAUUGCUUUAGAACGCCGGCGUGCUGGCGUGAACCUAAGCAUUUUGGUUGUCGUUUUCCAUCCCUAGGAACGAUGACGCGAUGAUCGAGUCAGGGUGCUACCACCUUGCCGACUGCACUUAGACCUGAUUGAUUCAUUGAUAGCAACCUCUGUAAUUCUCGCUGCUUUGGUCGUUUUCCACACUUGCAGAGCAUCUACAAAGCGGAAGGCCACCGACCUGAUUCAUCCUCCCUAAUCCCUCCCAUGCUAAAUUUGGGAACCAUCACUAUUAGGUCAACUUUCACCACUUAUAACGACGGCAAUGGUGUUUAUGUUUCUGCUAUC